rnacentral:rRNA from 1 species
CCUACGGGCGGCAGCAGUGAGGAAUAUUGGUCAAUGGACGAGAGUCUGAACCAGCCAAGUAGCGUGAAGGAUGACUGCCCUAUGGGUUGUAAACUUCUUUUAUAUGGGAAUAAAAUGUUCCACGUGUGGGAUUUUGUAUGUACCAUAUGAAUAAGGAUCGGCUAACUCCGUGCCAGCAGCCGCGGUAAUACGGAGGAUCCGAGCGUUAUCCGGAUUUAUUGGGUUUAAAGGGAGCGUAGGUGGAUUGUUAAGUCAGUUGUGAAAGUUUGCGGCUCAACCGUAAAAUUGCAGUUGAAACUGGCAGUCGUGAGUACAGUAGAGGUGGGCGGAAUUCGUGGUGUAGCGGUGAAAUGCUUAGAUAUCACGAAGAACUCCGAUUGCGAAGGCAGCUCACUGGACUGCAACUGACACUGAGGCUCGAAAGUGUGGGUAUCAAACAGGAGUAGAUACCCCUGUAGUC